rnacentral:rRNA from 1 species
UACGUAGGGUGCAAGCGUUGUCCGGAAUUAUUGGGCGUAAAGAGCUCGUAGGCGGUUUGUCGCGUCUGCUGUGAAACCCGAGGCUCAACCUCGGGCCUGCAGUGGGUACGGGCAGACUAGAGUGCGGUAGGGAGAUUGGAAUUCCUGGUGUAGCGGUGGAAUGCGCAGAUAUCAGGAGGAACACCAAUGGCGAAGGCAGAUCUCUGGGCCGUAACUGACGCUGAGGAGCGAAAGCAUGGGGAGCGAACAGG